rnacentral:rRNA from 1 species
AUGAUGAUACUUUGUUCUAUAAAAAUAAAAAGAAAUCUAUGUGUAUGGCUAUUUGCCGUUUUUACAAAUAUUUCUUUUCCUGUCAACCUGAAAUUUUGGUACUUAGUGUACUCCUUAUUUCCGUGUUUUCUGGCUGCAUUGUUCUGCUUGCUCAGAAUACCAUUUUAUGUUCAGAAUGUUGUCACUAAAAGAAAUUUUAAUGGAAGCACCACAGUUUCAUUUCUUACUCUAGUUAUCUAUGUGUUGAUUUCUUGUUUGAUAUUGUUGGGCGUUCAUAGUAUCAAAGCUUUAGAUGUUUGA